rnacentral:rRNA from 1 species
UACGGAGGGUGCGAGCGUUAUUCGGAAUUACUGGGCGUAAAGCGCGUGUAGGCGGGAGUGCAAGUCUGAUGUGAAAGCCCCGGGCUUAACCUGGGAAGUGCAUUGGAAACUGCAUUUCUUGAGUGCUGGAGAGGAAGGGGGAAUUCCCGGUGUAGAGGUGAAAUUCGUAGAGAUCGGGAGGAAUACCAGUGGCGAAGGCGCCCUUCUGGACGGCAACUGACGCUGAGACGCGAAAGCGUGGGGAGCAAACAGG